ACCUAUCCUCCAAGGACAUGGGCC
rnacentral:siRNA from 1 species